UAGGAUCUCCUGCCCAUCAAGGAUAUUGGAGAAAAUCUGUAUCUCGCAGUGUUCUUCCUGAUCCUAUGGAGACACCUCGCAGGGGAGUACAGUCAGCAUCAGGUACCUCAAUGCCCACUUCCUCCCUAGCUGAGCACUCAGCAUGAUACUCCUUUCACUUCUCCGAUGACAGAAGCUGAGGGCAAAUCAAUAAACAAAUUGGAUUAGCUGGGACCCGGGCGAUUGCAUGAUGCUAUGUGCCCCGAGUAGCACAAUCUGGUCACUAGUUGUACAUCCUUUACUUUCUAGUGUAAUUCACAUGGUAGCUACGCUGAGAAGAAGAAGAUCCUUCUGCAGGAGUGGACUUUGACUUAAUUCGGAACUUGGCCCAUAAUGCAAAAUGGAAUAUUACCCGCUGGUUGGAUUUUGCAAAUAGAGCACAUCUAACCUCAAAACUUUUAAAGUACACGCAUCAUUGAGAGC